GUGCACAGAGAGUCUGAGUGCCUUGGUCUAGAGCCAUUAAAAAAUUGUACAUUAUGUUCCUUGCUUUGAAGUAAGGGGCUUGUAGGUAGGAAAGCAACUCAUAUUGAGUACAGCUGAGCUAGAUUUGGCUGCUACUUCUCUCUGUCUGCCUCUCUCUCUUUCUUUCUCUCCCUCCCUGAAAUUCAUCAUCAGGUUCUUAAAGAAUCAGGCAACACUGCAAAGAACUUGAUGCUUUAUAAAAUGCUACAUCAAUUAGGAAAUAUACAGAUCAACAGACAUUUAUAGUAUGUUUUGGUACCUGCAGCCUGCUGUCUGUAUGCACAGAGGCAACAUUUGUAAAUCCUGCAAGAACAAGGCUGAAAAUACCAUGAUGAUGAUACCAUGUCAGUUGAAUAAACUUGUAUGCAAUGUACUCAUUUCAAGUGCCCCCAGCUAUUUAGUUUCCUAACAGCAGUUACACCAGUAAAAAAGCUUCAAAGUCCUUCAAAGCUCAAAAUAAUCCAGUAUAGGAUAAGACUGCAUUCAGAAUGUGUUCCAUGUUUCCAGAAGGCUGCACAUGGUUUGCUGGCUUCUCUUUGCAGGGGAUAAAACGACUGUUUUUGUACUUUUGAUACUUUUCCAGGUGAGGUGGCUGGCCUAAUUGAGAAGACUUAAUUGCUGAGUUGAGAAUCAUGAGCCUUGAGAUAAGGGGCCAGCUUUGGGUCAGCAGGAUGCUCCUACCAAGCCUUCAUACACUCCUCCAACAAGAUGGAAGAAUGGAUGUCUUGAUUAAGAAGAGGAAAGGUGGCUUUUUGCAACUCACAGGACGAGAGCGUGGCUGUUUGUCCUCACUCCGAGGUAAGGAUUCCUUACUCCCAUGGACGGUAUUUGGAGAAGAAACUGGAACGUUUUCGGUAUCUGACGCGUUCAUGCUGUGCUGGGCACUCAUGGUUUGCACCAACCCUGCGUCUGGAAAACAGGAAAGUGAACCAAAGAGGACAUACAGUGAGUGAAGGUGUUUGUGUUAGUUAGGAGUUGUGGCAGUGAUCUAUAGUUAAAAUGUUUAUCCUCACCUACAGCACAGGUAUUCCUUUAUAAAGUUAAUAUCACGGAAUGCACUAAUUUGCCUUAAGGGGAUGUCUUACUGGUAAAGAAGCUCCUCACGCACAAAACAGCUUAUGGAAAUGAAAACAAAGCUAAAACAAAGCAAAAAGAGCCGUCUGCCAACUGCAGGGAGGUAGAAGAAGCGAUGUGUGCUCCCUUUACCCAACUCCUGAGGCUCGGCUGUCAGACGCAGCGUAAAAGCACACGAAUGCUUCUGAUUAGUCUCUUUCCACUACGGUCGCGUUAAAUUGUUCCUAAAUCAUCCGCAUCCCUGGACCGGACACCGGAGGAAAAGGUGGGCUCGGAACAAUCUGUCUCCUCGCAACAGAACGUCGCCUGGUUGCAGUGGGCUGGGCCGUGCCGUCACCAUGGUUAGGGCGGAGGACGCGGUUCGGCACCUACCAAGUGCUUGGAGUGGGGGGGGGGGGACAUGAGGCCUCCACACCAUGGUUCCCUGUGGUGAAAUAAAAUCACUUAAAAAGCC